rnacentral:rRNA from 1 species
CCUACGGGGGGCUGCAGUGGGGAAUAUUGCACAAUGGGGGCAAGCCUGAUGCAGCAACGCCGCGUGAGGGAAGAAGGCCUUCGGGUCGUAAAGCUCUGUCCUAAGGGACGAAGAAUGACGUACCCUAAGGGGAAACCCCGGCUAAACUACGUCCAGGAGCCCGCGGGAUAAGGAGGGGGGAGGGCUUGACCGGAAUUAAGGGGGGGAAAGGGGUGGUAAGGGGCCCGGUUAGGCAAGUGGUGAAAGUCUAGGCUUAACCCGUAGUAUGCACUUGGAACUGUGUGGCUUGAGUGAAGGAGAGGAGGGCGGAAUUCCUGGUGUAGCGGUGAAAUGCGUAGAGAUCGGGAGGAACACCAGUGGCGAAGGCGGCUUUCUGGACUGUAACUGACGCUGAGGCACGAAAGCGCGGGGAGCAAACAGGAUUAGAUACCCUGGUAGUC